GGUGGGCAAGAGGGAGAAGAGCCGGGAGAGGAAAGGGGGAGGAGGAAAAUGUCCCGAAGGAACGGAGCAGAGUGAGCAGGGUGUUCGGGGACCGAGGACGAAGGGUGUUUCUUUGGGAAUGGUUGUCAUGUAGAGGCUUCUCCCUGGAUGCAGCCAUGCUUCCCACACCUGCUUAACUAGGCCCUCAUUCUCCAAAAUGGAUGGAGCCAUGGGACAUGUGAGCUUAUCCUAGCACUGAUGCCAACCCCAAAUCAAAUCCUAUAAUGAGUGCGACCAGGACAACAACCUUGGGGGACCACUGCUUCAUCAGUCACAGGAGGAAUUUGGGGAACAAAAUAUUAUGUCCAGCCAGUACUAUUGCCAAUCCAGGGCCACGAAGGCCUGUGCAGCUCUGGAUGCUCUCCUUGUCCCCAGACCCAUGUAAUAAAUCAUCAGGAUGAGUCACAGCACUUCUGAGUAAGGCUAACAUGGAAGGGCAAAUUGUCCCAAGGAGCAAGGUCCUCUUGGAUGGACCUCAGAGACUGUUACUGCCCACAUGCCUUUGACAGUCUCCUCUGAGUCUAGCUGAAGCCCUUAAUAGGGGUCCUUCUAUGUCUCCUCGGACUUUGGUCUAUGAUACUACAAAGCCCAGGUAAGCCAUAUCAUGGGCAGACAGUGCGGUCAGUUGUCCACAUCUCAGCUAUGGGAUCCGGAAUCUGUGGGCCCAUCUCUCGAGAGAGACUUGCUAUUCUUCAUCUCCAUCAUGAAGACACAGCCAGACCACCUCUGCAGGAGCCUGCACUGAUGCUACGCUACAAAGAAUGAGAGAGACCCUUCUCUGCUUUGGUUUCCUUCAAAAAUGGACCUGGCUCUAUCGCCCACAUGCUCCAGCCUCCCACCACUCCAACUAGGCUGGGCCUUGCUUCCCCCUGUGGAACUAAAGCAGGGUUCUUGUGUUUCCUGUGUUCAUUUCCUCAUUUGUAAUCAUGCUGCUGCUGCUCUCUACCACACUAACUCCUUAUGCUCCUGAACUGCCAAAGCCAAGGCUGGACAGUCCUGGUGGAGCUGUUCUCCCUUAGCAGACAGAAGCAGCCCCGAACACCCAAGAUCAAACCUUUGUGAAGGGCAAACAAGAGCACAGUGGCUGGACAAUCACCCCAGAUUUUCAAAUAAACACUCACAGAGUUGCUCAGGGAUGCUCACUGAAGUUGCAUCUGAGACAGCAAAUCACAAGCAGGCAGAGAACAAUUACUGGUACAAUGAAAGGAAGGACCCCUGCCAAGACAAUAAGAGCAAAGGUGCCAGGGUCUCCGUCCCCUUGAAAUAAAGCAAAUGCUGCACAGAGAAGACAGCAAACCUGGUUUUCAAAAACCAGUCAUUAAACAUGGUAAUACAGUAACUGAGUAUCAAGAAGGUCAGCAACUUAAGAGUUGCCAGCAGUGGUGCCAACUGAGGAGUCGAGGCAGAGUCAAAAGACAGGAUUGAUCUCUGGGGACCAAACUAAAUGUGUACAAGUUUGAUUUUGUCAAUUAUACUUCAACACAACUGUCAAAACUGAAUGCUGUACAAUAUUAAAUAUCAGCCAGAAGUGGCAAAGCUGUAUCUAACAAAUAUCUCUAAGUAGAUAAAAAAUCAUCAAUAUGGUUUAA